ACGGGAGACACACGGCGGGUGCUAACGUCCGUCGUGAAGAGGGAAACAACCCAGACCGCCAGCUAAGGUCCCAAAGUCAUGGUUAAGUGGGAAACGAUGUGGGAAGGCCCAGACAGCCAGGAUGUUGGCUUAGAAGCAGCCAUCAUUUAAAGAAAGCGUAAUAGCUCACUGGUCGAGUCGGCCUGCGCGGAAGAUGUAACGGGGCUAAACCAUGCACCGAAGCUGCGGCAGCGACGCUUAUGCGUUGUUGGGUAGGGGAGCGUUCUGUAAGCCUGUGAAGGUGUACUGUGAGGUAUGCUGGAGGUAUCAGAAGUGCGAAUGCUGACAUAAGUAACGAUAAAGCGGGUGAAAAGCCCGCUCGCCGGAAGACCAAGGGUUCCUGUCCAACGUUAAUCGGGGCAGGGUGAGUCGACCCCUAAGGCGAGGCCGAAAGGCGUAGUCGAUGGGAAACAGGUUAAUAUUCCUGUACUUGGUGUUACUGCGAAGGGGGGACGGAGAAGGCUAUGUUGGCCGGGCGACGGUUGUCCCGGUUUAAGCGUGUAGGCUGGUUUUCCAGGCAAAUCCGGAAAAUCAAGGCUGAGGCGUGAUGACGAGGCACUACGGUGCUGAAGCAACAAAUGCCCUGCUUCCAGGAAAAGCCUCUAAGCAUCAGGUAACAUCAAAUCGUACCCCAAACCGACACAGGUGGUCAGGUAGAGAAUACCAAGGCGCUUGAGAGAACUCGGGUGAAGGAACUAGGCAAAAUGGUGCCGUAACUUCGGGAGAAGGCACGCUGAUAUGUAGGUGAAGUCCCUCGCGGAUGGAGCUGAAAUCAGUCGAAGAUACCAGCUGGCUGCAACUGUUUAUUAAAAACACAGCACUGUGCAAACACGAAAGUGGACGUAUACGGUGUGACGCCUGCCCGGUGCCGGAAGGUUAAUUGAUGGGGUCAGCGCAAGCGAAGCUCUUGAUCGAAGCCCCGGUAAACGGCGGCCGUAACUAUAACGGUCCUAAGGUAGCGAAAUUCCUUGUCGGGUAAGUUCCGACCUGCACGAAUGGCGUAAUGAUGGCCAGGCUGUCUCCACCCGAGACUCAGUGAAAUUGAACUCGCUGUGAAGAUGCAGUGUACCCGCGGCAAGACGGAAAGACCCCGUGAACCUUUACUAUAGCUUGACACUGAACAUUGAGCCUUGAUGUGUAGGAUAGGUGGGAGGCUUUGAAGUGUGGACGCCAGUCUGCAUGGAGCCGACCUUGAAAUACCACCCUUUAAUGUUUGAUGUUCUAACGUGGACCCGUAAUCCGGGUUGCGGACAGUGUCUGGUGGGUAGUUUGACUGGGGCGGUCUCCUCCUAAAGAGUAACGGAGGAGCACGAAGGUUGGCUAAUCCUGGUCGGACAUCAGGAGGUUAGUGCAAUGGCAUAAGCCAGCUUGACUGCGAGCGUGACGGCGCGAGCAGGUGCGAAAGCAGGUCAUAGUGAUCCGGUGGUUCUGAAUGGAAGGGCCAUCGCUCAACGGAUAAAAGGUACUCCGGGGAUAACAGGCUGAUACCGCCCAAGAGUUCAUAUCGACGGCGGUGUUUGGCACCUCGAUGUCGGCUCAUCACAUCCUGGGGCUGAAGUAGGUCCCAAGGGUAUGGCUGUUCGCCAUUUAAAGUGGUACGCGAGCUGGGUUUAGAACGUCGUGAGACAGUUCGGUCCCUA
rnacentral:rRNA from 1 species